CUCCCCAGCCGGGCAGUGAAUACAUUCCACCUGCGAAAGGGCGCAGGACUUUCAAGACCCCAAAGAAACGCCGAGGGGCCUAGGGAGCACUGCAAGUAAAAGGAAAGAACCAAACCCUGUGUUUGAGUACUCUGCAGGGAUCACCUGACGAAAAAGUGCUGGAAUAGCCAUAAAGCCAGGCAUUCACAACUGUGAUCCAUAUCCAGUGGAUUGAGAAGAAAGAGGAACCUAUGGAGGCUGAGCCUAUGAGAAGCCUGAAGACACAGGAAAUAUACUGUUACCUAAGGAAUGGUUGAAUUCAUCAUGUAGUCCAAAGGCUGUAGAAUAUUGAGAUGGGAUUGUGACAGAACUGAAGAGGUCAUAAUAAACCAGAGGUCCUGGACUUGAAGACCAGUAUCUCACUUCUGUGUGCGGUGGCUGGAAAUGACCGGUUGUCUCCCAUUGAAGUUACGUGAGGAUUGGUUGGAUCAUGUGCUAUGAGUAUUUCCUUUGGAUAUCAGGGAGAAAAGGUAUGAGUGUGUGUGUGAGUGUGUGUGUGUGUGUGUGUGUGUGUGUGUGUGUGUGUGAAAAGUCUUCAUUAUAUAUGAGAAAUUUUAGGCCUCAAGAAAAUAUAGAUGGAAGUCCACUUACUUUUCAUGUGGGGGACUGCUGGCCUACUGUGCCCCAGAAAAUUCAUAUAACCUUUGGUUGGCUUGUUUUGCCCAGUGAUUUUUGAGAUAAUAAAAAUUAUGUUGUUCUUCCUUCCUUUCUUCCAUCCAUCCUUCUGUCCCUCCCUCCCCUCAGCCACUUGUUUAUUAAAUAUUCAUUGAUAACCCAGAAGACUGUGAAAGUCAGAGGCUGGGAAGACACAACCACAGACCCUCAUUCCUCUUACUAUCCAAUAAAUGCAGAGACAGCCUAGCUCUGCAGCUGGUGUGAUUUGGUACAGUUCUGGUCAGAUGUUUAGCCCAAGAUUAUAAAAAAUAAAACAGAACCAAAAGAAAGCCUGCAUUUUACUUUAAUACCAGUUCUGCAGUUAAUCAGAAGCACUUUAACCUUGAAUGUUUAAAGGACUAGUUACUUCAAAGCAUGUGUAAGUGAUGUUAGGAUGCAAAUAUGAAAUGAGUCCUUGCUGUCUGGCACAAUUGUCAUCGUGUUUAGUGUCACACUUGUGGGUGAAGAUAAGGUGUCACUUUGUUCCUCUCCACGCAAUUUUGAGUUUGGCAAUUUUGAGUUUCCGUUGUAAAGACCAGAUUAAGUAUGUCAGGAAAGUAGGCACCUGCCAGGGAAGAGGAAAGUAUUAACUAUUUCAGGCCACUAAUAAAAUAUGACAUUUGCUGCAGAGGUAAAUUAGCAAAUUAUGCUCAUGGUGCCAUGGACAAAUUAAUGUCCCUUUAAAAAGUUUGAAUUAUUUGCCUCAUAAAAAUGACCACCCCCCUCCCCAAUUUUCAAAGUUAAGAGUUCCUCUUUCAAAGGAAGAGCUUUAUGAUGUUUAGUUUUCUCUCCAUUAUCAAAAAGAAAAGGGAUUUAGUAAGGAAGAUAAUAUCAUUCUUUGAUCUUUGUUGAUGCUGUGUCAUCUUAUAGAUUGUUUGAAAAGACUUGGAACAACAUGAAGCACUUUGAUGGAGAGAUACGUAAUUUUUUAAAUGUUAUUUUUUUCUUUGACCUUUCAUCUUCCAUAUACUAGUUACUGUAAACACAAUUUAAAAAUCAUAAGUUGAAAUUCUUUAUUUAGAUUUAGCUCUCCAUAAGGAAUUCAACAAAAAGCAAAUGCCAACUCUAGAUAAACCUUUCAUAUGCAUAGGCCAUACGAUGGUGUGUGUGUUUUCUAUAAAAUAAAUGUCACUUGCAGCUGUUAACCCACAUUACUCCAGGAAAUUUCCUAAUGGUUGUUUUAGACAUUUUCUCUUUCUGUAAAUCUAUUACUGUGAAACUAAUUCCUUCCUGACUUCCUGUUGUGUUUCUCUACUAUUGCAUUAUUGGUAUUUAUUGUGUUGGUAUGCUCUGUCUUUAUAAAUUAAUUUUGUCUUUUUAUUUUUAAUUUUUUUCAAUGCUCUUCAUUUUUUUCAACUUAUACUAGAAUUUUUAUGAUUAAUUCACACUUAAAUGAGAUUUAUUGUUUGCAAAAUUUAAUUAAAAUUUCCUACUUCCUCAAUACAUUAAAACUAAUUAUUCUUGGAUUUUAAUAUUUCCUAUUAGUUCAAAUCAAUAAUGGAGA